AGCAGAGAGGGCGAGCUGGUCCCUGUGGCCGCCAUUAAAGCGAAGGGAAAACCCGUGAAUUCGGAUUAAAGGGGGAAAAACACCGCCCGCUGGGCCCACAAAAUGGGGGAGACUACGGCGUCCAGCCGGUGAGGCCACAGGAGGGCAAACUUUAGGCCGGCUUGGCCCAGGAACGACACGAAGACAGAGCCAGAGAAUGGUCUGAGCCCGCAGACGCCGCCACCACCUCCGCCGCUGAGGAGACUCUGGGCUUAAGGACAUCGCCGCUGCCGCGCCGGGGGCCUGGGCUUCUCUCCCGGUUCUCGCCCUUCCCGCUCCUGUGCGGGCGCCUCUCCGCCCGGGAGAACCGUCCUGGGCUUGGGCUCUGCCGUCUCGGACUUGAUUUUGAUUAUUUAUUGUGUAAUUUAUUAUUUUUCUUGUGGUAGGGGCACACAUCCCCUCCGUCCCCCAGAGAGGGACGAGCGUCUGCGGGAUCCGCAGUCCGGCCCGCCAGGCGAGCGCGGCGCGGCCCUCCCGCCUCCGGCCCUCGGCCCC
rnacentral:lncRNA from 10 species